rnacentral:rRNA from 1 species
UACGUAGGGUGCAAGCGUUGUCCGGAAUUAUUGGGCGUAAAGAGCUCGUAGGCGGUCUGUCGCGUCUGCUGUGAAAACUCGGGGCUUAACCCCGGGCCUGCAGUGGGUACGGGCAGACUAGAGUGCGGUAGGGGAGACUGGAAUUCCUGGUGUAGCGGUGAAAUGCGCAGAUAUCAGGAGGAACACCGGUGGCGAAGGCGGGUCUCUGGGCAACAACUGACGCUGAGGAGCGAAAGCUAGGGGAGCAAACAGG